UGUUAUUGCUUGUUCUGGUGUGUUUUAAGGAACUUGAGUCAAUUGUUUUCGUUAUAGUGUUAUUGUGCGAAUUGAGGAAAAUCUUCAAAAUCUAGAGUUGUUUGUUAAUCUGGUUGUUCGUUUUGUUUUGAUGUGCUAGAGGGACUCAAGAGACGCGUAACGUUUCUCAUUUUACUUAGAAACCGAGCGUGUACUAGGAAUCUGAGGUAAGUAGACUUCC
rnacentral:lncRNA from 1 species